rnacentral:rRNA from 1 species
GAUGAACGCUGGCGGCGUGCCUAAUACAUGCAAGUCGAGCGAACAGACGAGGAGCUUGCUCCUUUGACGUUAGCGGCGGACGGGUGAGUAACACGUGGAUAACCUACCUAUAAGACUGGGAUAACUUCGGGAAACCGGAGCUAAUACCGGAUAACAUGUUGAACCGCAUGGUUCAACAGUGAAAGACGGUCUUGCUGUCACUUAUAGAUGGAUCCGCGCCGCAUUAGCUAGUUGGUAAGGUAACGGCUUACCAAGGCAACGAUGCGUAGCCGACCUGAGAGGGUGAUCGGCCACACUGGAACUGAGACACGGUCCAGAUUCCUACGGGAGGCAGCAGUAGGGAAUCUUCCGCAAUGGGCGAAAGCCUGACGGAGCAACGCCGCGUGAGUGAAGAAGGUCUUCGGAUCGUAAAACUCUGUUAUUAGGGAAGAACAAAUGUGUAAGUAACUAUGCACGUCUUGACGGUACCUAAUCAGAAAGCCACGGCUAACUACGUG